rnacentral:rRNA from 1 species
GACGAACGCUGGUGGCGUGCUUAACACAUGCAAGUCGAACGGGAUUUAGUAAACAGAAGCCUCGGUGGAAGAUUACUAAUGAGAGUGGCGAACGGGUGAGUAACGCGUGAGCAACCUGCCUAUGACAGUGGGAUAGCCUCGGGAAACCGGGAUUAAUACCGCAUAAAAUCGUAGAAACACAUGUUUUAACGGUCAAAGAUUUAUCGGUCAUAGAUGGGCUCGCGUCUGAUUAGCUAGUUGGUGAGAUAACAGCCCACCAAGGCGACGAUCAGUAGCCGGUCUGAGAGGAUGAACGGCCACAUUGGAACUGAGGCACGGUCCAAGAUCCUACGGGAGGCAGCAGUGGGGAAUAUUGCACAAUGGGGGAAACCCUGAUGCAGCGACGCCGCGUGAACGAAGAAGGUAUUCGUAUCGUAAAGUUCUGUCCUAUGGGAAGAUAAUGACAGUACCAUAGAAGAAAGCUCCGGCUAAAUACGUG